rnacentral:rRNA from 1 species
AGGGUGACAGCCCCGUACACAAAAAUGCACAUACUGUGAGCUCGAUGAGUAGGGCGGGACACGUGGUAUCCUGUCUGAAUAUGGGGGGACCAUCCUCCAAGGCUAAAUACUCCUGACUGACCGAUAGUGAACCAGUACCGUGAGGGAAAGGCGAAAAGAACCCCGGCGAGGGGAGUGAAAAAGAACCUGAAACCGUGUACGUACAAGCAGUGGGAGCACGCUUAGGCGUGUGACUGCGUACCUUUUGUAUAAUGGGUCAGCGACUUAUAUUCUGUAGCAAGGUUAACCGAAUAGGGGAGCCGAAGGGAAACCGAGUCUUAACUGGGCGUUAAGUUGCAGGGUAUAGACCCGAAACCCGGUGAUCUAGCCAUGGGCAGGUUGAAGGUUGGGUAACACUAACUGGAGGACCGAACCGACUAAUGUUGAAAAAUUAGCGGAUGACUUGUGGCUGGGGGUGAAAGGCCAAUCAAACCGGGAGAUAGCUGGUUCUCCCCGAAAGCUAUUUAGGUAGCGCCUCGUGAAUUCAUCUCCGGGGGUAGAGCACUGUUUCGGCAAGGGGGUCAUCCCGACUUACCAACCCGAUGCAAACUGCGAAUACCGGAGAAUGUUAUCACGGGAGACACACGGCGGGUGCUAACGUCCGUCGUGAAGAGGGAAACAACCCAGACCGCCAGCUAAGGUCCCAAAGUCAUGGUUAAGUGGGAAACGAUGUGGGAAGGCCCAGACAGCCAGGAUGUUGGCUUAGAAGCAGCCAUCAUUUAAAGAAAGCGUAAUAGCUCACUGGUCGAGUCGGCCUGCGCGGAAGAUGUAACGGGGCUAAACCAUGCACCGAAGCUGCGGCAGCGACGCUGAUGCGUUGUUGGGUAGGGGAGCGUUCUGUAAGCCUGUGAAGGUGUGCUGUGAGGCAUGCUGGAGGUAUCAGAAGUGCGAAUGCUGACAUAAGUAACGAUAAAGCGGGUGAAAAGCCCGCUCGCCGGAAGACCAAGGGUUCCUGUCCAACGUUAAUCGGGGCAGGGUGAGUCGACCCCUAAGGCGAGGCCGAAAGGCGUAGUCGAUGGGAAACAGGUUAAUAUUCCUGUACUUGGUGUUACUGCGAAGGGGGGACGGAGAAGGCUAUGUUGGCCGGGCGACGGUUGUCCCGGUUUAAGCGUGUAGGCUGGUUUUCCAGGCAAAUCCGGAAAAUCAAGGCUGAGGCGUGAUGACGAGGCACUACGGUGCUGAAGCAACAAAUGCCCUGCUUCCAGGAAAAGCCUCUAAGCAUCAGGUAACAUCAAAUCGUACCCCAAACCGACACAGGUGGUCAGGUAGAGAAUACCAAGGCGCUUGAGAGAACUCGGGUGAAGGAACUAGGCAAAAUGGUGCCGUAACUUCGGGAGAAGGCACGCUGAUAUGUAGGUGAAGCGACUUGCUCGUGGAGCUGAAAUCAGUCGAAGAUACCAGCUGGCUGCAACUGUUUAUUAAAAACACAGCACUGUGCAAACACGAAAGUGGACGUAUACGGUGUGACGCCUGCCCGGUGCCGGAAGGUUAAUUGAUGGGGUCAGCGCAAGCGAAGCUCUUGAUCGAAGCCCCGGUAAACGGCGGCCGUAACUAUAACGGUCCUAAGGUAGCGAAAUUCCUUGUCGGGUAAGUUCCGACCUGCACGAAUGGCGUAAUGAUGGCCAGGCUGUCUCCACCCGAGACUCAGUGAAAUUGAACUCGCUGUGAAGAUGCAGUGUACCCGCGGCAAGACGGAAAGACCCCGUGAACCUUUACUAUAGCUUGACACUGAACAUUGAGCCUUGAUGUGUAGGAUAGGUGGGAGGCUUUGAAGUGUGGACGCCAGUCUGCAUGGAGCCGGCCUUGAAAUACCACCCUUUAAUGUUUGAUGUUCUAACGUUGACCCGUGAUCCGGGUUGCGGACAGUGUCUGGUGGGUAGUUUGACUGGGGCGGUCUCCUCCUAAAGAGUAACGGAGGAGCACGAAGGUUGGCUAAUCCUGGUCGGACAUCAGGAGGUUAGUGCAAUGGCAUAAGCCAGCUUGACUGCGAGCGUGACGGCGCGAGCAGGUGCGAAAGCAGGUCAUAGUGAUCCGGUGGUUCUGAAUGGAAGGGCCAUCGCUCAACGGAUAAAAGGUACUCCGGGGAUAACAGGCUGAUACCGCCCAAGAGUUCAUAUCGACGGCGGUGUUUGGCACCUCGAUGUCGGCUCAUCACAUCCUGGGGCUGAAGUAGGUCCCAAGGGUAUGGCUGUUCGCCAUUUAAAGUGGUACGCGAGCUGGGUUUAGAACGUCGUGAGACAGUUCGGUCCCUAUCUGCCGUGGGCGCUGGAGAACUGAGGGGGGCUGCUCCUAGUACGAGAGGACCGGAGUGGACGCAUCACUGGUGUUCGGGUUGUCAUGCCAAUGGCACUGCCCGGUAGCUAAAUGCGGAAGAGAUAAGUGCUGAAAGCAUCUAAGCACGAAACUUGCCCCGAGAUGAGUUCUCCCUGACUCCUUGAGAGUCCUGAAGGAACGUUGAAGACGACGACGUUGAUAGGCCGGGUGUGUAAGCGCAGCGAUGCGUUGAGCUAACCGGUACUAAUGAACCGUGAGG